AUUUAUAUAGUUUAAAAUAAAACCUUAUAUUUUCAAUAUAAAAAUAAAUAAUUUUUAUAAAUA
rnacentral:tRNA from 1 species